UACGUAGGGUGCAAGCGUUUAAUCGGAAUUACUGGGCGUAAAGCGUGCGCAGGCGGUUUUGUAAGUUUGUCGUGAAAUCCCCCGGGCUCAACCUGGGAAUGGCGAUGAAGACUGCAAGGCUAGAAUCUGGCAGAGGGGGGUAGAAUUCCACGUGUAGCAGUGAAAUGCGUAGAGAUGUGGAGGAACACCGAUGGCGAAGGCA
rnacentral:rRNA from 1 species